UCUUCUAUAAUUGAAUGGAAACCGACAGUAAGCGAAGGUCUUGCGCGCAUUUAGCAGCACGUUUCGAAGAAAGCGGUUUUUAAGUUACGCUGUUCCACAGGUAGAGCGCGGAUAUCUAUGCGAAUUCUCAUAUUUUUAUGAAUAUAAUUAAAAACAAUGAAAUUUAGAUAGGAAAUUGUUUUAUCUAUCGCGUAUCGUAAAAAUUGUCUACAUUUUGUCUGUUUUUACAUCUCCAAAUUUCCCAUAAACGCAAGCGAAUCUGCACUCUAAGCAUAAGUUUCAGAUAACUAACACCACGUCGCUUUUCGACGAGAUAUUUGCAACCAUACUUUGCUGCUACUUCGACUUUGAUCGCAAUGUACUAUCGACUCUUAUUCGAGGUUUUCGUACGAUUCACCGAUGAUAUUAUUAAACUGAACUCAUAACAUGUCGUUAUCGCGAUAUCGUUUCCAGUAUCCUGCUGUUCUUGUUAUUUUUGCGUCGAAACAAUAUUCCACUGAGUUUUAAGAUACGUAACGUUAUUAAAGUCAGCAGCUUCGCAAACUUUUGUUUAUCCCCGCUAUGGCAAGGUUAUAUAGCCGGACGAGAGAUUGCGUAUCAAAUCCCAUCCUUCGUCGACAUUUCCUCCAGGCUGUUCCUCUCGCUUUUCAACAAGUUGUAUAAAUUUUGUCGACAAACACAGAUUCGAUCGACUAAUUCUUUUAGAAAAUUAAAAUCCUAUUUUUCUCUGUCGUAUCUUUAUUCUUUCGAAAAAGGAAAAACAUAUUGGAUACUUGAGAGACUUUCACGAAGUCUCACUACCGUGAGUUCUUUGAAGCACGAAUAUGUGAAGAUUAUCAUCUUUAUUGCGGUUGCGAAGAGAUGAUAUUUCUUUAUGACUUUCUUGACAUACUCUCUAUAUAUAUUUGUACUUCUUUGAAACGUAUCUGCCACUUUACGUACUUACAUUUCACGAACUUUUUUAUCAUUUCUUCAGCAUUUAUAUUUAAAUUGUAAAAAAUUUGUUCCAAGAAAUAUCACCGUAUAAAAGCGUCUGCAGAAAGUGACGAUACCUCGUGAUACAAUUUUUUUGCCAUUACAUUUAUCAUACAAUGGGACACGAUGAUUACGAAUCAUAGUGAUUAUAUUCGUAACAUUUGAAACAGUCGACUAUUCUUUGUAUUAAUAAGCCAUAGUAUCUAACGAGACCAUCGGUUACGCUAAUUAUACGUUUUCGAUUAUUAUUCACGUUGUAUAUUAAUUUUUCACGAAAUGUAUAUUCGCAACAAGUCUCUUGUAACUUUGAUAUACGUUUCCAGAUCCGUUUUACAUUUUAAUGCUAUAAUCACCGUGAUUCAUAAUCACCAUGUCCCGUUAUAAUGAUAAGGAAAUUUCAAAAAGUUUCGUAUAAUGCGCAUAUUUCGAAUAAUUUGUACAUAGUACGUCGAACAACCGCGUUACCUUUUCCACGCAGAACAUUUAUACGAAUGUUCAUGCUCUCUAUCAAUUCGACGUAAUGCAUUCACGGCACCGUUACGAGCGAGAUCCCUGAUCAAACAAAGAAGGAGCAUGAACAAGAAAGUGAGAAUAACAUCGUUCGGAGAAUUGCUCGGCCAGCUCCUUUGUUUGUUCGGUUUUCCCGUUUUAACGACCCGCUUUUCUCCUGCAGGGCCUGCUAUUUGAUCGUUCUGAGAGUAAACGUCGGAGCAAUAGCAAUUGUAAUUCAUUAUACGAUUCAUCAUUAAGCAGUCAAUAUUUUUCAAGUGCAGUUUUCCACAGCUCUCAUCGAAAUGACUGCUUCGAAGAAAAUGCAAUUAAAAGUUUACCGUUGUCAUCUAGACGUAAUAGCUUCUCUCAAAGAACGAUAUGAAAUGGUACGAAGGAAGAAGGCAAGGAAAUUUCAUAAUCAACAUUGAUCCAGAAGGAAGUUGCCCUUAAGAAGAUUUGCUCGAGUGCGAAGAAAUUUCUUUUCGAAGAAUGGCACUCGAAGGGAAAUGUGCUUUUAUGGCAGGAAUAUAAUAGUCUUUGUUCAGAAACAAGCUGCUUGCGACGAACGUUGCAGUAUUACAGCGAGAGAUUCAGUUCGAUGUGUAGUACCAAGUACAAGUGAGUCCAACUUUGUAAGAUGUAAAGAAGGUCUGUAUAAUUAUUAUCUAUGAGAAUCCUUCGACGAAUCGUUGAAGAAACUUCCUUAACGAUUCAAUUAAUUAACUAAUCCGAAGUAGUAUUUGGCAAAAGAGUCGACACAUUUAACAUACCGGGGAAAUGACACGUUUAAUGCCGGGGGAAAUUUGUCGUGAAUUCAGAUUCCGUAUCGUCGCGAUUACAUUUUCGUAAAAAUCAAUUUCGCUACGGCGCUAAUGAGAUUUCAAAAUGUUUCGCGUAAUACAAUGUAGCAAGUUUCUUCGAAUACUUGCGUGAGCCAUUGCGUAUAUUUAUCUUGUAUAAUAGAACGAUACUUGUUUCGUGGCACGACAAGUUCGAUAAUUAAAGGAUCAAGCGAGACAUAUGUACGAUGGAUUGUGCACGCUCGUAAAACAAGCCCUGCAUAGUUUAAAUCGACGAGCAGACGAGAGGAAGGCAGACGGAUGAACAGAUAGCGAGAGAGAAAAAGAGAGAGAAAUGGAAGAAGAGAAUCAGGGAAGGUUCGUCCAAGUGGCGGUAAAGGAAGUUUAUUGACGAAACGUCAAUUCCCGAGGAUGAAAAUCGUGCGGCGCCGCGCAGUAUCAAUGCUGAUGCCGCUUCGUUUCCUCCAUUUUGGUUCCCGUCGCGAUAAAUUAUUUACACGGGACGCAGUUAUCGGGAUGACAGGCUAUCAGUCAAUAACAGAACUUCCGACCCAAAGCUUUAUAGCCUGAAAGCGACCGUUGAAUCCGCCUUCUCCGUGUGGGGAUAUGAAGUUUCGCAGGAAAUAUUAAUAUUCGAUAUUGUUCGACAGCUCGAUGAUCAUUCCAUCGCGGGAUACCGUCUGCAUGCACGGGAAUUACGAUGAUAAUAAUUCACAGCCAUAGAGAGAGAGAAAGAGAGAGGGAGAGAACGAAAAGUACAAACAUAUAACUUGGUAAAUAGUAGGUGAUAUAAUAUGUGAAAUUUAACGAUACGAGAUACAUUAAUAUUACAUGUAAUUGGUAUCAAGCGAUAGCAUUUCCCGUGUACAAUGUUUCAGCUGUUUUAAACCGAUUUAGCGCUAUCCUAUCGAUACGAGUAGACGUGACAAUUCUUUUCGAAUAAAACCUUUUUUACAUAGUUGCAAAAAUGUACUUCUUACAUGGUAAUUGAAAGAGUUAAAUGGCAGAUGUGUAAUAGUAGAACGGUGGUAGUAAUGAAGUAAUUAAAUUUAAAAAGUAACGAAACGGUUGAUAUCGAUUUAUCGACCUUUUACGUUCGUAUCGGAAAAUACGUUUGAAUAUUUUUUCCUAUUAAUAUUGUAUAUAUUAGUUUGUUUAUUUCACGCAAAAAUCCAAGAUAUAGUUGUCACAAACUUUUACGAUUAAUGCCUUUAGUUACGGUGCUAGUUACGUAUCUUUAGACAGCUAUCUAACAGUAUUGUUCAUUUUGAAAUAUGUACGUUGUCGAGUAUAAUUAAACGGUAGUAUGUUUAUUUUUAUUUCGUUAUUACGCGUUAGGUCUCGUGUACGUACGUGGAUAAGUUUAUGUUUUGAAAAUAUUGUUCUAGAAUUACGAAUUGUAUUUCUUUCGUAAUGCGAUCAACGCGUUGACUCUUCUAUAUACAUACGUAUAAAUAAUACCAAUCAAUAAGUUCAAUCACGAUAAACAAGCGGAUGAGGAUAAGCACGAUGAAUAAAGUUGUUUGUAUUUACAGACCAAACAGACUCUUUCUUUACUAAAGGAACAGAGAUGCGGAAAUUAAGGUAUGAAAGUUACGAACUUUUUUCUAUCGAUAUAACGAUCGUCUAUUUUGAAGUUUAUUAAAUAUUGUUAAAUUCUUUUACAUGUAGUUUUAUUCCGUCGAUAUCGAAUAUUGCAAAUUUAAGAUUCGCGUCCAAUAUUUCAGAGAAACAAUUUUUAAAGCUUUUCAGUAACCAGCUUUUACGUAAUAUUUUCCAAUUCAUGUUUCGCAAUAUCCUUUGUUCCCAAUUGCUUCUUUUGAUGCGUUAAGUUAAUAUUCUUUCAUAUUUUAAAAUACUUCUUGCACAAGACCGAGGCGAGUAUUACAGUCAUAAUAAAAAGAAAAAGAACUGUUCCAAAUUUAUCUAAUACGCUCGAGAUUUUACAUCUUGCGCUUGCAAUUUAUUAGUAAUUUUGUAAAAUACUAUUACUUCCACCAAGUUAUUGUACUCGUCGAACUUUAUCUUCCAAUGAUGUUGUGCUUCUUUAAACAUGCUAUAUACUACAGGCGGAAGGUAGAUCGAUAUUUAAUAUCUACGCUUAUAAGUUACGGGAAAAUGGUAUAAAAAAGUGGCACAGACCAACAGGCCGCAACUGCUUAAGUUGGCGUCGAACUUUGUAAACGAAUCAGGUUUAAGACCCUCGUAAUCGUACUAGCGGCGCAGAAAUAUCACGAAUCGAUUUAUCUUUAGCAAAAAGUCGGUUAUAGCCGCAAUUCGCGGUGUUUCGCGUCUUUAGAAACGACUUUCACACACACACACCAAAACUGGAAGACUUACAGUGCACAUUACAAAUUGUUUCCUCUAAAAGUAUCAGAUAUGAAGAUAUAAAUUUCCUUUCUUAUUGACUGUCGUACGAUAGGUAAAAAUAUUGUCCAUAUACCAAGCAGAAAAAUCUCCCUCGUAUUGUAGGAAGCCUGGGUUAAAUAUAGGCCGUUUAGUACGUGAACCUCGAAUGAGACACUAGUUACUAUAUUUGAUAAUGAAGAUAUAAUUUAGCUCCAAGAUGGCUCUUACUCUUAAUUCUUUAUUUUCAACUAUGGAUCUCACUAAUAUAGAACUCUAAUUCUGACUAACCAUCAUAAAUCGCCGAUUCUUCAUUGAUUUUAUCUUUUUGCGUUUCCCUACCCUUUUCGUCGGAUGCAGUUAUUCCUAAAAGACAUUCGGUCAGAAAAUAUUACAAAGACAAGUAUUGGAUUAUCAAAUCCAAAAGCAGGAAAAUUUGUUUCGCAUAAAAUUCAUUUAUUUCCAGAUGUAUAUUUUAACAGGCAAAUGGGAUACUUCUAAAUAUAAAGUGUAUGCGCUUUAACCGAACACCGUCAAACGCGAGGAAAAAUAAGAAAGUAUCGUGACACCCGAUACCUCAUAUAUUUAAGAUCAAGCAUAAAUUGCAGGUUGACAAUAAAGCACAUUUUGAUUUUGCCCAAAAUCUGUACAUACUAUUUUUAUGCUCGGAAACCAAAGAAAUACGAAAAUAUCGCUUAUCGAUCUAAUUAAUGAAAAUUCAAUCUGAUGCCAGUAUAAUACCGUUUUUAAAGAAUUGCACCAGCAAAAGCUGCUCUUCCAUUUUUCUCUCGAUUAACGUUCGAAGAAACAUACUUCGAACAAAAGCACAUGAUUUCAUCGUUUCAUGGGAAUCUGCGAUAGGGUGGAACGAAUUCCGCAGGAGAAAGAUGGCCGGGCAAUGUGUCUCGUCGAUCAAGCCCGAACUCUUUCCCCGAAAAUUUACUCUUCGGCCCAAUAAACGAGUUUCCAUCGGCCCCUGCUGCGAGUUCGAUCUUUAUCCGGAACAAACGUCUAUUUCAUAUCGGCCGCGAUGAAAAGAAUUCCAGCGUUGCCCCACCCCUAUGUUCCCUUUCGGCUAGGAGAACGACGAGGAAGAGAACUUUAUGAGUUUGGUGGCCGGAAUGAGAUCGACCGCGAAUUUAUUCCACGGCCAAUUACCAUUCGGCCGGUGGGCUCUUUGCAUUACGAUCUCGCCGGAUACGCGCUACAAUUGCCGCGAUAUCGGUGUCGGAUGACGCGCUGCCUCCAGAUAUCGGUUAUCGAUUACGAGCCUCCGGCCGUUUAGAACGAGGAGAAUCCUUCAAGCUGGCUGAAUGUUACCAGCGGUGAUAAAUUAUGGUAGGACUUUGAAUUCCAUACACGGAACCAGGAUCUAUAUACUCGUAUACCUAAAUUGUUGCGUGCCGAUCCUAUUGAUCUCUCGAUCACGUUCAAGUACAGAGGAUAUUCUAUAGAUUUUUAUAAAAAAUGUUCCUACCGCGAUCCUACCGUAGUCACGAAAGAUGCAAGAUAAUUAAAGCAUGGAAUUUUAGACAGACGGGAAAACGCAACGUACUAAUAAGAACACGAUUGAAUUUUUCAUUUAUAGAGAAUUUAAGGGUGCAAAAAUGCGUUACUGAUAUUUCCAGUGAAACGGACUAACUACGAUAGAACUUCGAUAAGAGCUCGAACAAGUCUGCAAGCCGAUAUCAAGCGCAAACGAGUUAUCAGGCUGGAACCACUUAAUGCUUUAUCGAUCUCGUUAGCGUAUGAGGAAACCGCGGAAAAUAAACGAUCCUGGGUUAGCAAUAAUAAUUUAAAACUAAAAUCAGCUACGUGUUGGUUUACUAAUUUAGGAUACGUAGCCAAUGCCGUGGCCGUCGUAAAUCUUCCUCGACCCCUUGUAAAGUAUCACUCAAGCGCGAUAUCUCCAGAGAUUCUACGUGCAGUUUUCUGAAAAAUCCUGCUGGACCGUGUGUAGUCGGCUGAACGGAAGAUAGAAAUCUGAUUUGCCCUAGCCAGAUAUAAUCCUUCCUCCAUCUCCUUUUCAACGCUCGUUCCCCUAUUCUAUAGCUGCCUGUCUUUGUUCUUUCUCUCUCUCUCUCUCUCUCUCUCUCUCUCUUUAUCCUGUGCAGAACGUUCGUAAGGGGAUCAUAUGAAACGUUCGUACGGCAGAUUGGCAAGAACGAUCGUCGCAAGCUCAUGUCGAAGAUCGAUCGAUGACCGAUAAUACGAUUACAAAUUACGAGCCGUUUAGACACGUCAGCGGAUGAAACUGACCAAUCAACGACACCAUUGUUACCCUAUCCGAUUUAUCGACGACCGAACCGUGAAUAGCACGGUGAUUUUUGUGCCUAUCGACGAUGCACUUUUCAGCUGGAAAUCAACGUUCGACCGAGAUUCACCGGCACACUAGGGAAAAAAUUUAUAUGUGAGCCUGUUUUUCUGCCAGAUAGCGCGGCUACGUUUAUUGCUAGCCGCGAGAAAUUAAAUUCAACCUCGGAGUACCAAUACUUUUUGUAUUCGUUCGUUGGUGCACACUCGAUGGACAUAUCGAAUUGCAAUGGACAAAACAAAAUUGGAUAAGAUUGUUUUUCGUUCCUCUAGAGGCGACGGACCGUUAAAUUGUUGUUAUAACACGAGAGCUACCGUUUUCGUAUUUUCUAUAUACAAAAAAAAAAAAAUAUGUUUUGUAUAUAGGAUUUAUUCUGUUUGUCGCUAUCCGUUAAAAAAUAUUUUAGCUCAACGUGAAAAACGGUUUUCUUCGAGCAGGUAUAAAUAAAAGAAAAUAAGUCUUUGCAUUCGACAGGAGAAUAUUUUAUCACAUUGUCGUGCUCUAUGAAUAAAACAGAAAGACAAAACGCAUUUACAUCUUUUUCAUACCGUUGGCGAUACUUUAGCAAUUAUUCAAAACGAUAGUCAUCUGUAGACGCUCUAUAUUUACUUCUAACAAGAAAAUACUGAGUUUUCUUCGUGGAUAAAUCAUUUUCGGAUAAAUGGAACAAAUGUUGCGUCAUAAUCACUAAGCUAGAAUGAAAGCUGAGCAGAGAAAUUCGAGUAUCGCACGAAGCUGGUCUACGUGAUAACCCGUAACAGAAAUGCAGUCUGGCAAAGAUAGAACAGCUUCUUCCUGAAAGUGUAACACUUGAACACCAUGCGUAUUUGUAAAAUGUCGAGCACUCUUUCGUCUCCAAGCGUGUCGUUCGUGUGCAAGCGAAUGCAACGAACGUAUACGAAACACGACUACGUAAAAUCUUGCUUACCAUCAUAUGCAGAUUCUUUGAAAGCAUACUACGUCCCAUUUGGAUUGUGACGCGAACUCUACGUGCGCAAACCAUACAAAGGUAGGCACUCAGCCUCGCUUUUCUUCUGUCACUGGCAUUGAUCAUUACGCCAUCAAGAUCCAUCUUGCUGCGAGUUCAGUUUUUUUUACACGUUUUUCUAACGAUAUUUCGUACGAUACGAAAGCGUUACAAGCGUCGUAUAUAAAUACAAAAAGUAGCUCACAGCUACGACCAACUUGGGAACAUCGGUAAAAAUUUAUUUCUUAAAUUGCUCCUAAACUUCGGUGUACGAUCGAUCCAGUUUUGUAAAUAAAGUGUCCAAAGUAUAAGACGAUUUUGGAACAAAAGAACGCGUUCAUCAAUUGUACGAAAGAACAGAAAGUUUCGCCGCCUAUUCGAAAUUCACCAAGAAGUUUGGAAACUCUGUCAGCCAACGAUAAGACUCGGAAGUUGGCGUUAAGUUCUCCCGGAACCGUGCAGUUCUUUUCUGAAGUGAAAUUCAUUGCCUGCCGUGCCGCACUGCUUCCGUGUGACACGUCCGGGAAUAAGAACAGCCGACAUUCGCAACGGAUUAAUUUCCCGAUACAUCGUGAACGAGAAACGAAAAAACAAGAAAUGGGAAAAAAAACGAGCGAUUUUGUCGAUACACGAAUUCGCGCGAAGCGACAGGCCAGCUCCCUUUUGCCUCUGUCGAAUGUCAGAGAAGCCACACGUAAUAUACACGUGUACCGAUUCUCUGUAUCGCGCGCGAAAUAGUUCAAUUUCACGUUGCAAAUCAGAUUUUUUUCGGGCUUCUUUUAAUAUACAAGCCGUGUACCCAUCAAUCUGACGUGUACGAACGGGGCCGUGCACGAAUGUAUUCGAACAGAGACGACAGUCCUUUUUCAAAGAGAAGCUGUACGAGUACCGUGUACCGAUGUAGUCGCUACACGGUUUCUUCCCUACGGAUUGAUCGAAAGGCAAGAAACGACGUAUUGUGACCCGCGAUGGAUGUUUAGACGUAUUCGCUUCGCAUUUCGCUCGCGUUCAAAUUUCUCCGUGUUACUUACGAGUUGCAUGGAAUUUUUUUAUGAAACUGUACGCGUUCCUCGCUUUAUAAGUAUGUUCUUGGUGUUUGCAAGAAACGCAAUAGUCGCUGUUUAUAUGUAGCGUACUUAUCGAACAAAGCGCAGAAACGUAUAUGCUUUAUUAAAAAAUAUGAAAGAUUCUGCAGUUUGUAGUUUGUACAACGAAACAUAUAUAUACAACAUAUACAAUAUAAUAUGUAUAAUAUUUUAAUAAUAUACGUAAUAUUUGUAUAACAGCUAUCUAUUAAACUCACUUUGAUUUCGUUUCAUCUCGGUGAACCAGUAAAUUCUUUGUAUCAGUUCGUAUUACACGUAUCGCACGCAAUAAUAUCUGUUCGAUGUGUCUUUCUUUUUUGAAGUUACACGCACAUAAAAGUCCAAUGGCGUAAAAUCAGAGGCGAUAUUCGAGGCAAAAGUACCGUUCUCUCUGUGUUUCUUAUUUUUAUCAUAACUUUCGAAUAAAGCUUUGAAUGAGUUAUGUUUAUAUAACCGCUUUUGCUUAAUUAUAUCGGUAGUAUAAACCGAAAAAGUGUAAGAUCUUCGCUACGUACAUGCGCCGCCAAUUUGAUCAAGUAUCCAAAAUUCAUGAACACGAAUUUGAUAUUGUUAAUAUCUCGAUAUGAAUUUUCCGCUAUGCCUAGAAUCUCAAUCUCGUGUUGCAGUAUAUUACAGAUAAUCGAAAUGCUUGUUCGAUCUAGGUGAAAGCAACGAAGAAGCAUUUAAACAGAAAUUGAAGAAAAUAUUUAGUGCGGAACAAAUAACGUCGAAAUUUCUAACGAUACUGUAUCGAGACUAAUAAUUUGCAUAGCUUGGCACAAUAAAGCACGUGAAGAUUCUCUCUCGGACCAGGAGAAAUAUUCUGGAAAUUGAAACGGCGAAUAUUAAAUAUCGGAGCGCGGCGGGAAAGCGAAGAGAUAUGCCGGAAAUCACGAGUCACUGACGCGACAAACUGGCAGUCUCCGCGAAAAUUCAGAACGGUGGAUGGUUGGCUAACUGGGAAGACAGCCGUAGGUUUCUCAGGAUUUAUGCAAUAUCGAGGGCGUGUGCAGCGCGUAACGAGACUAUACGAGAAGUAAUCAAUCGACAAGCAGAGAGGUGUUUCGCGAUACGAAGGAAGCAGAAUAUACGGGCUCGUAAUGUCUGGGAAGAGUGGGUCGUUCGUGCCUACCGAACCGCGUAACACUUAUCUCUUUCGGCGGGCAAAGUUUCGUUCCCCGGUGCCCGAUCGACGGUAUUCACCGUUUAAAGAAAUCUACUUUUUCCCAGCGGUGCAAUUCGUUCAGAAGGAAUCUCCGUGCGAAUGGAAAAGGACUUUUUCCCCCGCUUUUUUUCUCUUAUCAGCUUAACGAGCUUUUCUUUAUCCACCCGACGACGCUGCGCCAUCCUACCUUCUCUCUUUUCUUUCUUCCGAGUGACACUGGCUUCUGUUCUUCCGCUAGCGAACGUUUUCUUCUAUUUUUCACGGUCUCUGCGUACCUUUCCCUUUUCUUGUAUUCUUUGAUUCCUUGCCGCUUUUUCUCUGCUACGUAUCAUCCGUUGGCCAGUGACGUCAUUUUUUUGCACGAGAACGUUCUCUCUCCUUUGUUGCCUCUUCACCUUCACCUCUUAACCGUCGUUAUUUUCAUCAUUUUGCACAGACGGUUUUUAUUCCUUAA